AAAAAAAAAAAAAAAAAAAAAGGUUUUUGAAAGCAGCUAAGAGCUGCUUUCGUUUUUUUUUUUUUGCUUUGAAUGGUCGUGAUUUUGGAAAAAAAGAAAAAAAGAAAGCUAGGUUUGCUUGAGUUACCAAGCAUAAAUUGGAUGCAACGAUCACCAGAUUUUGGUGGGGCUAGGGGUGGGCACGGUGCGGUUCGGUACAGUUCCACCCCUAAACCGGAACCAGAACCUUAAAAUAGCAAUGAUUCGAUUCGGUGCAGUUUCACUUAAAUUUAUUACUAGAACCGUACGGUUCGGUCUAGACUGCUUCUUAUUCCGUUCUUGCCGGUUUAUGGUUCCGAAUACUAAAUUAUUUGAACACCAAAUCAUCAUACAUUCAAAUACAUCUUCUAAAACUGAUUCUAUAAAGUUGCAACAAAUCCAACACAAGCGACCACUUGCAAGUUCCAACAGAACAUACCCACGAGAAGUAAUCGUUGGAACUGAUAUUUACCCCCAAGACGAUAAAACCCAAAAGUGAAAAUGACAGCAUUUGCAUCUUCCACCAUCUGAUAUGUGCAACCUCUUUGACUUGUCAAUUGUUUCACGUUCACCCAGCCUUACCAAUUACCUCAUUGAACGAAAGUACUACCCAACCAAAGGGAAAUGCAAGACUUCAAAUCUAUGGCGUGUAAAUGACGACAAUAAUGGUAAACAUAAGCUAGGAGUCCCAAAGGAAGCGACUUAUUUUAUUUUAGGUCACAGUUACACACAAUUGACAAUAAUCCCAAAACAACACCACAUUGAUAAUGCUUUAAACCAACCCGCCAAUUGCAAUAAAAUUCUAAGUCAUUUCCAAUAUCAUCAAAUUACUGAUUUUUCUCUUAGCCGACAAUAGAAUAGUGAACUAUGUAUCUAUACCUGAUCAAUGUGACCAAGAACCUCUUCUUUCUUUGUAGCCUCAUCUUUGUUCUCAUAAAGCCCGGAAUCAAUCAAGAACUGCCAAAAUCAAUACAAAACAGUGAACUAUAUAUCUAGAGAAUUGGACACUAAAACAAUGAACUAUAUAUCUACCAAAAUUAUAAAGCCACGAAUCAAUCAAGAACUACCAAGAUCGAUCGAGUCUAGAAACUUAGCAUCAUCAAACUUUGUCACAAAAGAAUUGGACGUUAAUACACAAUAGAACUUCCCAAUUGAUUCAACCUCUGAUUCUGCUACAUCAUUACUUAACUAACAAAACAUAUGAAGCUCAAAACAAAACAACAGUCAGAAAACAACAAGUUGCAACCGAGCCAGUUCGCAAUCAAAAACAGGGAAAUUCACGUAAUCCAAGGAGGGAGGACGGAGGACGAAGAGUCGUGAGUUGUCAUGGAUGAGGGAUGUCGAGGCUCGUCGCAGAGAACAGAGGUUAUAAGCUACCUAAGAUAUCGCAGAAAUUCUGGAUGAGGGCCAUGAGUAGGUUGACCGGCUGAGCGACAUUGGGGGAAGGGGGGGGUCUGAUGUAAGGCAGUGAGACGUGAGUGAGGUGAGGGUGAGGUGGGUGAACCCUAAUUAGGAUGAGAUCCCCUGGUUUUCAAUUCGAUUUCGGCCAAUUCUUGUUCAUUUGAAACUGAAAUCGAUUUGAACGGUCCGUUUCGGUUUUUUUACUCAAAGUUGACUUUUUCAAUCAACACGGUUCCUUUCGGAUUUUUUUUUUUUUUUUUUUUUCAUACGGUUCGAGGGAUAUUGAUUUCCUUCAACACUUCAUCCUAGUGGAAGAGCACGAUGCGAUAUUGGAAUUGAACAUCAGGGACCUUGCGACAGAGGAUAGACUGGUGUGCCCUUAUGGAAAAAAAAAAAAAAACAGGCAUCUUCUCCGUGAAAUAUGAGUACCAUAGGGCCUACUCGGUGACUGCCCUAAGAGUAAGUCAUCGCUCUACUUCUUCCACAACAAUCCCGAAAUUGUUAUAGAAGGUUAUCUAGAAGUUGGAAACCCUUUUUAAGAUUAAAAGCUUUAUGUGGAAAGCACUUCAUAGGGCUUUGGAUACAAUGAAGGACUUGUUUAAGCAUAGAUCAUCCCCUUCCUCAAUCUGUCCAAUAUGCCAUAACCAUGAGGAAAGCAUUGAACACAUUUUCCUUCUCUGCCCAUAGGUAGAGACCAUUUGGUUUGGUGGGGUCCUAAACUACAAGAUUAAUUGGAAUGGUAUUACAACAUGGGCUAAUUGGCUCCUUGCUAUUAUCAAUUCCAUGACUAGCUCAUCGACGGACGUGGGGAGGAUGCUGUCAAUGGUUGCUUUCACAUACUGGUAGGUUUGGAAGGCCAGAUGCAACUUCGUCUUUAAUCAGCAACCAAUCGCUUCGAGGCCCUGCGUUCAUGAAGAUUAAUGUUGAUGCUAGUUAGACGACCUCUACUGUUUUGGGGUUUGCUGGUGCAAUAGUUCGGGACUCCGAUGGUAAGUUCGUGGCUGCUCGGAGGUUUAGCUUUCAUGCUCAAGUGUGAAAGUUGUUGAAGCAAUGGCCAUUCUUCGAGGUUAUCAGCUGGGCAACUCUUUGGGCUUCAAUUCGGUGAUCAUUGAGUCUGAUUCAUUGGAAUCUAUCUCUUGCCUGAGGAAUGUUCUAACAAAUGGUAGUUGUGAGGCCUUUCCUACUUUGAUCAAAAGCAAGAAAAUUGGAGAGUCCUUCCAAGAUUAUCGCUGGUCUUGGAUCUCAAACCAACCAACAUGGCGACAAAUCUUCUAGCGUCGCAAAGAAGUAGGGAGAUGUGCGAUUUCACUUAGGUCGAUCGAUCCCCAUCUUCCCUUAUUCAUGUACUAAACAAUGAUGGGCUUCCCUGUCUUCCUUAAAUUUCUGUUUUGUGGUAGUGCAAGGGGCAACGCAUUAGCAUAGGUUGCAGCGUCCCUUCAAAAUGUACCUCUUUGCACUGACCGGCUUUAUUUUCUUAGCUAGUAUUGGCUUGCCUCUUUGUAGUCUUUGGUUGUAAGUUCUUUGGCAUCUUUGCCCUGGUAAUGCGAUUUUUAGUUAACCAAAAA